UACGGAGGGUGCAAGCGUUAUCCGGAUUCACUGGGUUUAAAGGGAGCGUAGGUGGCUUUGUAAGUCGGUGGUGAAAUCUUAGAGCUCAACUCUAAAACUGCCAUUGAUACUGCUUAGCUUGAAUCACGUCGAGGUGGAUGGAAUAUUACAUGUAGCGGUGAAAUGCUUAGAUAUGUAAUAGAACACCGAUUGCGAAGGCAGUUCACUAGGCGUGUAUUGACACUGAGGCUCGAAAGCGUGGGGAUCAAACAGG
rnacentral:rRNA from 1 species